CGGGAAGUAGCGCAGCCUGGUAGCGCGCCAGUUUUGGGUACUGGAUGUCGGAGGUUCAAAUCCUCUCUUCCCGACCA
rnacentral:tRNA from 2 species